UCUCAGAAGGUAAAGAAUCUGCCUGCAAUGCAGGAGACCCAGGUUCGAUCCCUGG
rnacentral:tRNA from 1 species